rnacentral:rRNA from 1 species
UUGACGGGGCCCGCACAAGCGGUGGAGCAUGUGGUUUAAUUCGAAGCAACGCGAAGAACCUUUACCAGGUCUUGACAUCCCGAUGCUAUUUCUAGAGAUAGAAAGUUACUUCGGUACAUCGGUGACAGGUGGUGCAUGGUUGUCGUCAGCUCGUGUCGUGAGAUGUUGGUUAAGUCCCGCAACGAGCGCAACCCCUAUUGUUAGUUGCCAUCAUUCAGUUGGGCACUCUAGCGAGACUGCCGGUAAUAAACCGGAGGAAGGUGGGGAUGACGUCAAAUCAUCAUGCCCCUUAUGACCUGGGCUACACACGUGCUACAAUGGUUGGUACAACGAGUUGCGAGUCGGUGACGGCGAGCUAAUCUCUUAAAGCCAAUCUCAGUUCGGAUUGUAGGCUGCAACUCGCCUACAUGAAGUCGGAAUCGCUAGUAAUCGCGGAUCAGCACGCCGCGGUGAAUACGUUCCCGGGCCUU